rnacentral:sRNA from 1 species
CCCGGUUGACUAGGAGCUGGCGGUCCGAGCUGUGGCUUGGAAGACCGAAGCGAUGAAGCCCAGACCUGCAGGGUUCGUGGAUAAUAAACUCAAGCAGCGAGUCAUCCAGUAUAGACUAUGGUCGAAGAAAAAGAAAUGCUUUUAGGAUUCAGGUAGAAAAAGUAUUUAGCAUAAUUAGUAGUGAGAAGGAACUUAAGAAUUUAACAGAAUUAGAAGAUGAACAUUUGGCAAAAAGGGCAAGACAAGGUGAAGAGGAUAAUGACGUCUCGCUCUGUCACCCAGGCUUCAGUGCACUGGCACAAUCAUGGCUUACCGCAGUCUUGACGUCCCAGGCCCAAGCGAUCCUCCCACCGCAGCCUCACAGGUAUACUGAAAGCUAUUCUGAUGAUGAUUCAAGUAUGGAAGACUACCCAGAUCCACAGUCAGCAAAUCACAUGAACAGUUCCCUGCUGUCUUUAUAUCGGAAAGGAAAUCCUGAUUCUGUUUCAAAUACUCCUGAGAUGGAGCAAAGAGAAACCACCUCUUCAACACCACGGAUAAGUUCCAAAACAGGCUCCAUUCCCUUGAAGACCCCUGCCAAAGAUUCUGAGGGAGGAUGGUUUAUUGACAAAACCCCAAGUGGAAAGAAAGACAGUUUUUUCUUGGACCUGUCAUGUGAGAAAAGUAAUCCUAAGAAGCCAAUAACUGAGAUAC